rnacentral:lncRNA from 1 species
UAUUUUUAACUAUAAUAAAUUGAUGAAGAUUACAGAAUCAAUGAACAAUGAAAAGCAAAAUAAUCAGCCUUUACACCGACACAAACAAGGCUGAGAAACUGAAAUGUUUCACUAUCUCUGGAGCUUCCCGAUGGAGUGUAAAUAUAUUGCAACAGAUACAACACUGUGAAGGCAGAAUAACGUUAGUCAGACAUUCUGUAUUCAUUCUUUUACAGGUCGAACGAAGUGUAUACAUCAUAUUCCAAAGCAUGCUGACUUAGUGUGUGAAUGUUGGAACUGAAAUUUUAAACCAUUCUAUUAUCUUAGGCAGUGGGUCACUUCAAUGGUUGUGCAAUAAAUUGAUUGUAAGAUUUUAAAUCAUAAUGCCGAGAACAAGUUCCCAUAUUCCUUCUUAGGCAGCAUAUAUAAAUAGAAUGGUUUAAGGAAUAUCCAUGUAUAUAUGAUGCAUACAACAAAGACAAAGAUGCACAAGUUAAGAGAAACUUCAUUUUUCCUCAAUCUACCAACUCAAUUUCAGCUCUCUUUUCACUACCACAUUCCUUAUUCCCUAUUUAAAAAUGCACAAGUUAAGAGAAACUUCAUUUUUCCUCAAUCUAGGGACGUCUCUGCAAGGAAUAUUUUGGAAAGAAAAAGUCCCACUAAGCUAACUUGGAGAAUCAAUCUUUCUUGCCUAACAAUAAAUCUUUCUUGGUCAAAGACUGCAGGGGAUUCACCAGGUGGAGGAUAUAUAAUGCAUAAACAAUAAAAUUAAUUUACAGUCACAGUCCGAACAACACCACCACUAGCACCAUCACGAGCAAUGGCAAGACCACU